GGUGGAUGCCUUGGCACUAGGAGCCGAAGAAGGACGGGACUAACACCGAUAUGCUUUGGGGAGCUGUACGUAAGCGUUGAUCCAGAGAUUUCCGAAUGGGGGAACCCACUAUCUUUAGUCGGAUAGUAUCCUUACGUGAAUACAUAGCGUGAGGAAGGCAGACCCAGGGAACUGAAACAUCUAAGUACCUGGAGGAAGAGAAAGAAAAAUCGAUUUCCUGAGUAGCGGCGAGCGAAACGGAAAGAGCCCAAACCAAGAAGCUUGCUUCUUGGGGUUGUAGGACACUCUAUACGGAGUUACAAAAGAAAGUUAUAAAUGAAGCGGUCUGGAAAGGCCCGCCAAAGACGGUAACAGCCCGGUAGUUGAAAUGGCUUUCCCUCCAGAGUGGAUCCUGAGUACGGCGGAACACGUGAAAUUCCGUCGGAAUCCGGGAGGACCAUCUCCCAAGGCUAAAUACUCCCUAGUGACCGAUAGUGAACCAGUACCGUGAGGGAAAGGUGAAAAGCACCCCGGAAGGGGAGUGAAACAGUUCCUGAAACCGUGUGCCUACAAGUAGUUAGAGCCCGUUAAUGGGUGAUAGCGUGCCUUUUGUAGAAUGAACCGGCGAGUUACGAUUUGUUGCAAGGUUAAGCGGAAAAAGCGGAGCCGUAGCGAAAGCGAGUCUGAAUAGGGCGCAUAAGUAACAGGUCGUAGACCCGAAACCAGGUGAUCUACCCAUGUCCAGGAUGAAGGUAAGGUAAUACUUACUGGAGGUCCGAACCCACGCACGUUGAAAAGUGCGGGGAUGAGGUGUGGGUAGCGGAGAAAUUCCAAUCGAACUUGGAGAUAGCUGGUUCUCUCCGAAAUAGCUUUAGGGCUAGCCUCGAGGUAAAGAGUCAUGGAGGUAGAGCACUGUUUGGACUAGGGGCCCUUCUCGGGUUACCGAAUUCAGAUAAACUCCGAAUGCCAUGUACUUAUACUCGGGAGUCAGACUGCGAGUGAUAAGAUCCGUAGUCGAAAGGGAAACAGCCCAGACCACCAGUUAAGGUCCCCAAAUAUAUGUUAAGUGGAAAAGGAUGUGGGGUUGCUUAGACAACCAGGAUGUUGGCUUAGAAGCAGCCACCAUUGAAAGAGUGCGUAAUAGCUCACUGGUCGAGUGACCCCGCGCCGAAAAUGUACCGGGGCUAAACAUAUUACC
rnacentral:rRNA from 1 species